rnacentral:rRNA from 1 species
CCUACGGGAGGCAGCAGUGAGGAAUCUUGCGCAAUGGGCGAAAGCCUGACGCAGCGACGCCGCGUGGGCGAUGAAGGCCUUCGGGUUGUAAAGCCCUUUUCUGGGGGACGAGGAAGGACGGUACCUGAAGAAGAAGCACCGGCUAACUACGUGCCAGCAGCCGCGGUAAUACGUAGGGUGCGAGCGUUAAUCGGAAUUACUGGGCGUAAAGCGUGCGCAGGCGGCUUUGUAAGACGGAUGUGAAAUCCCUGGGCUUAACCUAGGAACUGCGUUCGUGACUGCAAAGCUAGAGUGCGGCAGAGGGGGGUGGAAUUCCUGGUGUAGAAGUGAAAUGCGUAGAGAUCAGGAGGAACACCGAGGGCGAAGGCAGCCCCCUGGGUUGACACUGACGCUCAUGCACGAAAGCGUGGGGAGCAAACAGGAUUAGAUCCCCCUGUAGU